rnacentral:tRNA from 1 species
AUCGGAGGUUAAACUCCUCCCUAGCGCC